UCAACUUCUCAGCCUCUGAACGUAAGACAACAACAACAUGGGCAAUAUUUACGGUCAACUACAAAUACCAGCCACAGCCUAUCGUCUGCAGAUACUAUUCCAGAUGUAAGGAGCAGUACACCAGAUACAGCUGUUGGAAGAAGCUCUGCAGAUGUUGGACGUCUCUUCAGAGCCAUGGUGACCGAAUCAGCACCACUUUUCGAUGAUAUCGCUGAG